rnacentral:rRNA from 1 species
GGAUCGGAGUCUGCAACCCGACUCCGUGAAGCUGGAUUCGCUAGUAAUCGCGCAUCAGCCAUGGCGCGGUGAAUACGUUCCCGGGCCUUGUACACACCGCCCGUCAAGCCAUGGGAGCCGGGGGUGCUUGAAGUGCGUCGCCGCAAGGCGCGCCCUAGAGCAAAACCGGUGAUUGGGGCUAAGUCGUAACAAGGUAUC